CACCCAUAUCCCUGAACGGAAAGAGGGAAAAGGGCAAAGAAAAAAAAUUAAUCCUUAAUCCUGAGGAAUAUGGGGAAUAUUCCUGUAAAGAGCACACGGCGUCCACGCUUUAAAUCCUCCCACACUUUCACAUCCAGAGAAACGUCUCCUCCGAGAUCCGCACCGCGUCCCGAGAACAGUCCCUUCUGAGGACAAAGCUGCUUCACAAUGUGGAGUUCGCCAGGGGACAGGAGUCAGAGUGGGCGGGGUCAAGUCCUGAUGUCACACAAGUGGAAGUGGAGGCACAGGAAGUCUGCUGCUUUGUGCUGAAGGUAAACAGAGUGAUAAGAGGUGUGUUACUGGAGGAAGGUGACUGACACACAGGGAUACAGGGACUACUGAAUAUAACACAACACAACACAACACACUGCUCUAUAAACACAACACAACACAACACAACACACUGCUCUAUAAACA